rnacentral:rRNA from 1 species
CCUACGGUGGACAGCAGUGAGGAAUAUUGGUCAAUGGGCGCGAGCCUGAACCAGCCAAGUAGCGUGAAGGAUGACUGCCCUACGGGUUGUAAACUUCUUUUAUAAAGGAAUAAAGUGAGGCACGUGUGCCUUUUUGUAUGUACUUUAUGAAUAAGGAUCGGCUAACUCCGUGCCAGCAGCCGCGGUAAUACGUAGGAUCCGAGCGUUAUCCGGAUUUAUUGGGUUUAAAGGGAGCGUAGAUGGGUUGUUAAGUCAGUUGUGAAAGUUUGCGGCUCAAACGUAAAAUUGCAAUUGAUACUGGCAGCCUUGAGUACAGUUGAGGUAGGCGGAAUUCGUGGUGUAGCGGUGAAAUGCUGAGAUAUCACGAAGAACUCCGAUUGCGAAGGCAGCCUACUAAACGGCCACUGACAUUGAUGCUCGAAAGUGUGGGUAUCAAACAGGAUUAGAUACCCUGGUAGUC